rnacentral:miRNA from 1 species
UAUGCCACGGCGGAUAGGAG